UGGGGAAUUUUGGACAAUGGGCGAAAGCCUGAUCCAGCAAUGCCGCGUGUGUGAAGAAGGCCUUCGGGUUGUAAGGCACUUUUGUCCGGAAAGAAAUCCUUGGCUCUAAUACAGUCGGGGGAUGACGGUACCGGAAGAAUAAGCACCGGCUAACUACGUGCCAGCAGCCGCGGUAAUACGUAGGGUGCAAGCGUUAAUCGGAAUUACUGGGCGUAAAGCGUGCGCAGGCGGUUUGCUAAGACCGAUGUGAAAUCCCCGGGCUCAACCUGGGAACUGCAUUGGUGACUGGCAGGCUAGAGUAUGGCAGAGGGGGGUAGAAUUCCACGUGUAGCAGUGAAAUGCGUAGAGAUGUGGAGGAAUACCGAUGGCGAAGGCAGCCCCCUGGGCCAAUACUGACGCUCAUGCACGAAAGCGUGGGGAGCAAACAGGAUUAGAUACCCUGGUAGUCCACGCCCUAAAACGAUGUCAACUAGUUGUUGGGGGAUUCAUUUCCUUAGUAACGUAGCUAACGCGUGAAGUUGACCGCCUGGGGAGUACGGUCGCAAGAUUAAAACUUAAAUGAAUUGACGGGGUCAUAGCUGUUUCCU
rnacentral:rRNA from 1 species